rnacentral:tRNA from 1 species
GGAGGGCUGUCCGAGUGGCCUAAGGAGACGGUCUUGAAAACCGUUGGGGCGUUCUUCGUCCCCCAGGGUUCGAAUCCCUGGCCCUCCGCCA